rnacentral:lncRNA from 1 species
GGUGGGGACAGGGGGUCGGCCGCGGAGGCGGCCCGGGCGCCGGCCUCCCUAGCGCUCACCGCCGCGCUCCGCUGGCUGGGCCGUGCUGGCCCCUGGCGCUAGGCAGCUGACUCCAUCCAGAUGUGCCGCGGCUCCAGAGUGGCUGCCGCGCGCAGUAAAUGGGCAUCGGAGGCUCGUCAAUCCGGGCCAGAGCAAUUGCGGUCUCGGGGCCGCCCCACUGGCACUCGGAAAGGGUCUCGCUCUGUCACCCAGGCAGAAGAGCAGUGGUACGAUCUUGGUUCAUUACAGCCUUGACCUCCUGAGCUCAAGUGAUCCUUCCACCUCAGCCUCCGGAGUAGCUGGGACCGCAGGAAUGCAAUACCAUGUCUGGCUAAUUUUUGUACUUUUGGUAGAGGCGGGGUCUUGCUACCUUACCAGGGCUGGUCUCAAACUCCCGGGCUCAAGCGAUCCUCCUUGCCUUGGCCUCCCAAAGUACUGAGAUUACAGGCAUGAGCCGCUGCACAGAGCCCCACUAACUAUUUUUUGAAUAAAUCUGAGUUCCUGAAAGAUUGAAUACAAUCUGUUUAGAGGAAGAAGCUGUAAAACUGUAAUAAGAUGAAAGAAGAAGAAAGGAAGAAAAGGAGGAGCGAAAGGAGGAGGGGAAGAAACUGAUUCAUGCAGGUUAAAUAAUAUCAUAAUUAUUCCACUGUAAUUUUUUUGCACUUUAAAGUACUCACCUGUCUAUUCUGUACUGGAGUUCUGACCUUGUUUCUGGUCUACCACACCACUGCAUUUUCAAACCAAGAAUUCACUGAGAGCGAAUAGGAAGGCUCGUGCACCAGAGAGACUAUUCUCAUUUAUUUCUUAAUUAUUUAUCAACAAAACUUCAUUGGCACACUUAUUGAGAGAGUUUCAAAUCAGCGUGCUGGGCGCUGGGAAGCGCACUGGGUGCUGAGACACGGGAAGCCACAGCUUCUCUGGAGAAGCUCGCAUUCUGAAAGGAAGCGUUGGGAGAGGACAUGGAUGAAAACAUACAAGACAAAACAGUGAGCAUUGUGAUAAGAGAUAAUACAGUGUCACAGCAGCAAGAAGAAGGAAUUCACGACUCUCAAGAGGUCGAGAUCAUCCUUGAACCACCACUGACCUCAAGGCAAGGCACAAGGCGAAGAGCCCCCGAGUGGCACAGGGAGAUUGAGGGUCUCAUCCCCACUCAUAGGAAUUCAGCCCAUCAGUGGUCUAGACUGAGACAAGAAAUUAAGUAAAUUUGACUCCUAUGCCACUUCUAUAUUUAUCCAUUCAUUCGUGGGAACACUGAGAUUCCACUCCCUGUGCCUGACAGUUUGAACUAACAUUCUUACAUGUUGGUAUCACUCAAGAAUCACACUGGGAGAAGGUGGGUUUAGGUUUCUCUAGCUAGAAAAAGACUCACCACAAGGAAUCGAAUGUAAUCCUAGUUCUAAUCCAAUCUAGACCAAAAGGGUCCAGUUACUGUCCACAGAGGGCUGCGUCCAGGAAGGCCAUACUGGUGUGCUCCCAGCCACAGCCCCAGCAUGGCCGACACACAGGAAUGAAAGGUCAUGCCAGCUCCUGCUCCUUCCUUAUCCUAAGAGCCCGAGGCCCACACCUUCCCUUAAACAGACCCAGGGCACAGCCCUUCCUUAAGUCAUCCCAUAACAGUGCUGGACUACCAAAGUCCAAGCCACCACACAGGGAUGACAUAAGUGAGGUUUCCAUCUGCCAGGAGGCCAGAGGAAUGCAAGUGUCACGUCAUGGGGAAGGAAGGCCCAGUAGUAACAGUCACCUCCGAGGGGCCUUCCUUGUGGAUUGAGGGUGUCUUCUCCAUGCAGUUAGCUUAAUAACAAUAAACAGGUGGACUAGGUUCAUGAUUGAUAAAUUCCUUCUCUACCCAACCCUCCCCCUGCCCUAGACAAUGUUGGUGUCUGUACAAUUAGAAGGAUCUAUUCUCUUUUUAAUGCGGAAGCAAAGCAGAGUGAUAGGAGCUUAGAGAAAUCGCAGCACAGAUGUCAAGGCCGUAGGCCCAAGGGCUGUUAAAAAAAGAAAACUCUGUAAAUGGAAGUGAGGCUUAGUAAGGCACAGCCCUUAAGUCUUGGCUCACAAUGCAAAGGAAAAAAAGAAAAAAGAAAAAAGACUGGUGGGUGGGGGAGUUUCCUGAAGCCAUGAGUAAAAUCUGGCAGAAAGCAUUCUAUACAGCCUUUUUUGGUUUCAAUCCGCAUGACAUCACAAUCUGUGAAUUUUGCUGUGAUUGAAUUUGAAUGAACUUGUAGAUUCAAAACAAAACCCAUUUGAAACAAGCUCCACAAAGCAACUCUAGCUUCCCUGCAGCAGUUAAGUGCAUUUCCUAACUGCCUUCUUCUUUUCUGGAUGGCAAGGCCCGCCUGGGAUAACACGCCAAGUCCAAACCACACAGACACAUGCAUGCACACGCAUGCAGACACAUACAAGCACACACAGACAUAUGUGCACACACACAUGCAGACAUACAUGUGCACAUACACUCAUUCACAGAAACACACACACACACACACACACACAGUGGGAGCAGCAGGUCCAAGAGAAGUGGCAGGAGCACUGGACUGGACUGUCGAUUCUACCUGGGAGAACCUGCCCAUCCUUUUGUUCUGCUUCCCCUUUUUAUUCCUAUUAUCUUAGUUCUGCCCAGUAAAGGCAAGAAGGAAGACCUAGACCAGCCCUGCAAACACAUUGUGAGCUUAGAGAAACCAGGGCAGAAGAAAAGAAAACCACACAACAGUACUGGUGUGACGAUUAAAGUAUUCCAC